CGAACGUUGGCGGCGCGCUUAAUGCAUGCAAGUCGAACGAGAACCAGUGAGUUCGUAAGAACCCGCUGGGGAUAGUGGCGAACGGGUGCGUAACACGUGAGAAACCUGCCCUGGAGACCGGGAUAGCGCGGGGAAACCCGCAUUAAUACCGGAUACCUUCACCGGACCGCAUGGUCUGAUGAAGAAAUGGUCCGCCGCUCCAGGAUGGUCUCGCGGCCUAUCAGCUUGUUGGUGAGGUAACGGCUCACCAAGGCAACGACGGGUAGCUGGUCUGAGAGGACGAUCAGCCACACUGGGACUGAGACACGGCCCAGACUCCUACGGGAGGCAGCAGCAGGGAAUAUUGCACAAUGGGCGAAAGCCUGAUGCAGCGACGCCGCGUGCGGGAUGAAGGCCUUCGGGUUGUAAACCGCUUUCAGGAGGGAAGAAAAUGACGGUACCUCCAGAAGAAGGCCCGGCCAACUAC
rnacentral:rRNA from 1 species